AUUGAACGCUGGCGGCAGGCCUAACACAUGCAAGUCGAACGAGUGGCGGACGGGUGAGUAAUGUCUGGGAAACUGCCUGAUGGAGGGGGAUAACUACUGGAAACGGUAGCUAAUACCGCAUACCAUCGGAUGUGCCCAGAUGGGAUUGGCUUGUUGGUGGGGUAACGGCUCACCAAGGCGACGAUCCCUAGCUGGUCUGAGAGGAUGACCAGACACACUGGAACGGAGACACGGUCCAGACUCCUACGGGAGGCAGCAGUGGGGAAGAUUGCACAAUGGGAGAAAGCAUGAUGCAGCCAGGACGCGUGUAUGAAGAAGGCCUUAGGGUUGUAAAGUACGUUCAGCGGGGAGGCGUUAACCGCAGAAGAAGCACCGGCUAACUCCGUGCCAGCAGCCGCGGUAAUAC
rnacentral:rRNA from 1 species